rnacentral:rRNA from 1 species
UACGUAGGGUGCAAGGCGUUAAUCGGAAUUACUGGGCGUAAAGCGUGCGCAGGCGGCUUUGCAAGACAGAUGUGAAAUCCCCGGGCUUAACCUGGGAACUGCAUUUGUGACUGCAUGGCUGGAGUGCGGCAGAGGGGGAUGGAAUUCCGGCGUGAGCAGUGAAAUGCGGUAGAUAUGCGGAGGAACACCGGAUGGCGAAGGCA